rnacentral:misc_RNA from 1 species
CUGGAUGUUGUGCGGAAGGAGGCUGAGAACUGUGACUGUCUUCAAGGUUUUCAAGUGUGCCAUUCACUUGGUGGAGGAACAGGUUCUGGAAUGGGAACUUUACUGAUCUCCAAAAUCAGGGAAGAAUACCCUGAUCGCAUGAUGCUCACUUUCUCUGUGUUCCCAUCACCAAAGGUUUCAGAUACAGUGGUUGAGCCAUAUAAUGCUACCCUUUCAGUGCAUCAGCUUGUUGAAAAUGCUGAUGAGUGUAUGGUGCUUGACAAUGAAGCUCUAUAUGACAUUUGUUUCAGGACUCUCAAGCUUACCACACCCAGCUUUGGUGAUUUGAACCACUUGAUUUCCGCUACGAUGAGUGGGGUCACUUGCUGCCUCAGGUUCCCGGGUCAAUUGAACUCUGAUCUUAGGAAGCUUGCUGUUAACCUGAUCCCCUUCCCUCGUUUGCACUUCUUCAUGGUUGGAUUUGCUCCUCUCACUUCUCGUGGUUCACAGCAAUACCGUGCACUUACAGUCCCAGAGCUGACCCAGCAAAUGUGGGAUGCCAAAAACAUGAUGUGUGCUGCUGAUCCACGUCAUGGUCGUUACCUUACUGCCUCAGCCAUGUUCAGGGGUAAAAUGAGCACCAAGGAAGUUGAUGAACAGAUGAUCAAUGUUCAGAACAAGAACUCUUCCUACUUUGUCGAAUGGAUUCCAAACAAUGUGAAAUCCAGUGUCUGUGACAUCCCACCAAGAGGUCUCUCAAUGGCAUCUACCUUCAUCGGAAACUCCACUUCCAUUCAGGAAAUGUUUAGGAGGGUGAGUGAGCAGUUUACUGCUAUGUUCAGGAGAAAGGC